rnacentral:rRNA from 1 species
CGGCGUGCCUAAUACAUGCAAGUCGAGCGAACAGAUGAGAAGCUUGCUUCUCUGAUGUUAGCGGCGGACGGGUGAGUAACACGUGGGUAACCUACCUAUAAGACUGGGAUAACUCCGGGAAACCGGGGCUAAUACCGGAUAAUAUUUUGAACCGCAUGGUUCAAUAGUGAAAGACGGUUUCGGCUGUCACUUAUAGAUGGACCCGCGCCGUAUUAGCUAGUUGGUAAGGUAACGGCUUACCAAGGCGACGAUACGUAGCCGACCUGAGAGGGUGAUCGGCCACACUGGAACUGAGACACGGUCCAGACUCCUACGGGAGGCAGCAGUAGGGAAUCUUCCGCAAUGGGCGAAAGCCUGACGGAGCAACGCCGCGUGAGUGAUGAAGGUCUUCGGAUCGUAAAACUCUGUUGUUAGGGAAGAACAAAUUUGUUAGUAACUGAACAAGUCUUGACGGUACCUAACCAGAAAGCCACGGCUAACUACGUGCCAGCAGCCGCGGUAAUACGUAGGUGGCAAGCGUUAUCCGGAAUUAUUGGGCGUAAAGCGCGCGUAGGCGGUUUCUUAAGUCUGAUGUGAAAGCCCACGGCUCAACCGUGGAGGGUCAUUGGAAACUGGGAAACUUGAGUGCAGAAGAGGAGAGUGGAAUUCCAUGUGUAGCGGUGAAAUGCGCAGAGAUAUGGAGGAACACCAGUGGCGAAGGCGGCUCUCUGGUCUGUAACUGACGCUGAUGUGCGAAAGCGUGGGGAUCAAACAGGAUUAGAUACCCUGGUAGUCCACGCCGUAAACGAUGAGUGCUAAGUGUUAGGGGGUUUCCGCCCCUUAGUGCUGCAGCUAACGCAUUAAGCACUCCGCCUGGGGAGUACGACCGCAAGGUUGAAACUCAAAGGAAUUGACGGGGACCCGCACAAGCGGUGGAGCAUGUGGUUUAAUUCGAAGCAACGCGAAGAACCUUACCAAAUCUUGACAUCCUUUGACCGCUCUAGAGAUAGAGUCUUCCCCUUCGGGGGACAAAGUGACAGGUGGUGCAUGGUUGUCGUCAGCUCGUGUCGUGAGAUGUUGGGUUAAGUCCCGCAACGAGCGCAACCCUUAAGCUUAGUUGCCAUCAUUAAGUUGGGCACUCUAGGUUGACUGCCGGUGACAAACCGGAGGAAGGUGGGGAUGACGUCAAAUCAUCAUGCCCCUUAUGAUUUGGGCUACACACGUGCUACAAUGGAUAAUACAAAGGGCAGCGAAUCCGCGAGGCCAAGCAAAUCCCAUAAAAUUAUUCUCAGUUCGGAUUGUAGUCUGCAACUCGACUACAUGAAGCUGGAAUCGCUAGUAAUCGUAGAUCAGCAUGCUACGGUGAAUACGUUCCCGGGUCUUGUACACACCGCCCGUCACACCACGAGAGUUUGUAACACCCGAAGCCGGUGGAGUAACCUUUUAGGAGCUAGCCGUCGAAGGUGGG